rnacentral:lncRNA from 1 species
UUCUUCCUACGGUAUUGUCUAACUGUUCUUCCUACUGCAUUGUCUAACUGUUCUUCCUACUGUAUUGUCUGUUCUUCCUACUGUAUUGUCUAACUGUUCUUCCUACGGUAUUGUCUAACUGUUCUUCU